rnacentral:rRNA from 1 species
UACGGGGGAUGCAAGCGUUAUCCGGAAUCACUGGGCGUAAAGAGUCUGUAGGUGGCUUAAUAAGUCUGCUGUUAAAUAUUGAAGCUCAACUUUAAACAAGCGGUAGAAACUAUUAUGCUAGAGUAUGGUAGGGGUAGAGGGAAUUCCCAGUGUAGCGGUGAAAUGCGUAGAUAUUGGGAAGAACACCAGUGGCGAAAGCGCUCUACUGGACCAUUACUGACACUCAGAGACGAAAGCUAAGGUAGCAAAUGGG